rnacentral:misc_RNA from 1 species
UAAUAAGUGUUCUACUGCACUUUUUAAAAAUAGUACUCACCUUGUGUGCAAUGUUGUGUGAACUUGUCUAGUACAAGUUUACGCCUACACCAACCUAUAAUUUUGAACCACUUUGUCUGAAAAACUAUUAUGAAUACUUAAUUCAAAAUA